rnacentral:rRNA from 1 species
AGAGAAUUUAGCAGAGAUGCUUUAGUGCCUUCGGGAACUCUGAGACAGGUGCUGCAUGGCUGUCGUCAGCUCGUGUUGUGAAAUGUUGGGUUAAGUCCCGNAACGAGCGCAACCCUUAUCCUUUGUUGCCAGCACGUAAUGGUGGGAAACUCAAAGGAGACUGCCGGUGAUAAACCGGAGGAAGGUGGGGAUGACGUCAAGUCAUCAUGGCCCUUACGAGUAGGGCUACACACGUGCUACAAUGGCGCAUACAAAGAGAAGCGACCUCGCGAGAGCAAGCGGACCUCAUAAAGUGCGUCGUAGUCCGGAUUGGAGUCUGCAACUCGACUCCAUGAAGUCGGAAUCGCUAGUAAUCGUAAAUCAGAAUGUUACGGUGAAUACGUUCCCGGGCCUUGUACACACCGCCCGUCACACCAUGGGAGUGGGUUGCAAAAGAAGUAGAUAGCUUAACCUUCGGGAGGGCGUUUACCACUUUGUGAUUCAUGACUGGGGUGAAGUCGUAACAAGGUAAGCGUAGUGCU